rnacentral:rRNA from 1 species
GGAGUCUGGGCCGUGUCUCAGUCCCAAUGUGGCCGUUCAACCUCUCAGUCCGGCUACUGAUCGUCGACUUGGUGAGCCGUUACCUCACCAACUAUCUAAUCAGACGCGAGCCCAUCUCUAAGCGAUAAAUCUUUGACAUUAAUAUCAUGCGGUAUCAAUGUGUUAUGUGGUAUUACCAUCCGUUUCCAGAAGCUAUCCCUCUCUUAAAGGUAGGUUGCUCACGUGUUACUCACCCGUCCGCCACUAACUUGAAAGAGCAAGCUCUCUCUCGUCCGUUCGACUUGCAUGUGUUAGGCGUGCCGCCAGCGUUCGUCCUGAGCCAUGAUCAAACUCU